AGCGGCAUAGCCAGAUGGUAAGGCAGAGGUCUGCAAAAUCUUUGGCUACGGUUCAAUUCCGGGUGCCGUCUGCA
rnacentral:tRNA from 1 species